rnacentral:rRNA from 1 species
GACGAACGCUGGCGGCGUGCUUAACACAUGCAAGUCGAACGGAAAGGCCCUGCUUGCAGGGUGCUCGAGUGGCGAACGGGUGAGUAACACGUGGGUGAUCUGCCCCUUAUUUUGGGAUAAGCCUGGGAAACUGGGUCUAAUACUGGAUAGGACCAUGCUGUAGGUGGUGUGGUGGAAAGAUUAGUUUCGGUAAGGGAUGAGCUCGCGGCCUAUCAGCUUGUUGGUGGGGUAAUGGCCUACCAAGGCGUUGACGGGUAGCCGGCCUGAGAGGGUGGACGGCCACAUUGGGACUGAGAUACGGCCCAGACUCCUACGGGAGGCAGCAGUGGGGAAUAUUGCACAAUGGGCGCAAGCCUGAUGCAGCGACGCCGCGUGGGGGAUGACGGCCUUCGGGUUGUAAACUCCUUUCAGCCAUGACGAAGCCCUUGUGGUGACGGUAGUGGUAGAAGAAGCACCGGCUAACUACGUG